rnacentral:rRNA from 1 species
GAUGAACGCUAGCGGCAGGCCUAACACAUGCAAGUCGAGGGAGAAGCCCUUUCGGGGGCAGAAACCGGCGCACGGGUGCGUAACGCGUACGCAACCUACCUUUCACAGGGGGAUAGCCCGAAGAAAUUUGGAUUAAUACCCCAUAAUAUUAUUGGAUGGCAUCAUUUGAUAAUUAAAACUGCGGUGGUGAAAGAUGGGCAUGCGUCCUAUUAGCUAGUUGGAGUGGUAACGGCACCCCAAGGCUACGAUAGGUAGGGGUCCUGAGAGGGAGAUCCCCCACACUGGUACUGAGACAGGGACCAGACUCCUACGGGAGGCAGCAGUGAGGAAUAUUGGUCAAUGGUCGGAAGACUGAACCAGCCAUGCCGCGUGCAGGAAGAAUGCCUUAUGGGUUGUAAACUGCUUUUAUAUGGGAAGAAUAAGGCGUACGUGUACGUUGAUGACGGUACCAUAUGAAUAAGCAUCGGCUAACUCCGUG